GACAUAGGUGGCGAACGUUAUCCGGAAUUAUUGGGCGUAAAGGGUGCGUAGGUGGUUUAAUAAGUUACUGGUGGGAAAUCGGGGCCCAACCCCGUGGAAGUCGGUAAUACUAUUAAACUAGAGGUCUGGAGGGGUUAACGGAACUCCAUGUGUAGGGUAAAAUCCUUAAAUAUAUGGAUGAACACCAAACGGCGAAGGCAGU
rnacentral:rRNA from 1 species